rnacentral:sRNA from 1 species
GUCCUAACCCCAUCCGAGAUAUUUUCUCUGGUGGAUAUGGAUGAAAACCCCGAUAAAGAUACUGAACACCACGUUCAGCCACUCUUUAUCGGGUCACAUCGGGAAACUGGUGUGGGGGCCGCAAGGCUUC